GUGGGGAAUUUUGGACAAUGGGCGCAAGCCUGAUCCAGCAAUGCCGCGUGCAGGAAGAAGGCCUUCGGGUUGUAAACUGCUUUUGUACGGAACGAAACGGUCCGGGUUAAUACCCUGGGCUAAUGACGGUACCGUAAGAAUAAGCACCGGCUAACUACGUGCCAGCAGCCGCGGUAAUACGUAGGGUGCAAGCGUUAAUCGGAAUUACUGGGCGUAAAGCGUGCGCAGGCGGUUUUGUAAGACAGGCGUGAAAUCCCCGGGCUCAACCUGGGAAUUGCGCUUGGGACUGCAAGACUGGAGUGCGGCAGAGGGGGAUGGAAUUCCGCGUGUAGCAGUGAAAUGCGUAGAUAUGCGGAGGAACACCGAUGGCGAAGGCAAUCCCCUGGACCUGUACUGACGCUCAUGCACGAAAGCGUGGGGAGCAAACAGGAUUAGAUACCCUUGUAGUCC
rnacentral:rRNA from 1 species